rnacentral:rRNA from 1 species
GACAUCCAGAGAACUUAGCAGAGAUGCUUUGGUGCCUUCGGGAACUCUGAGACAGGUGCUGCAUGGCUGUCGUCAGCUCGUGUUGUGAAAUGUUGGGUUAAGUCCCGCAACGAGCGCAACCCUUAUCCUUUGUUGCCAGCGGUUCGGUCGGGAACUCAAAGGAGACUGCCGGUGAUAAACCGGAGGAAGGUGGGGAUGACGUCAAGUCAUCAUGGCCCUUACGGCCAGGGCUACACACGUGCUACAAUGGCGCAUACAAAGAGAAGCGACCUCGCGAGAGCAAGCGGACCUCAUAAAGUGCGUCGUAGUCCGGAUUGGAGUCUGCAACUCGACUCCAUGAAGUCGGAAUCGCUAGUAAUCGUAGAUCAGAAUGCUACGGUGAAUACGUUCCCGGGCCUUGUACACACCGCCCGUCACACCAUGGGAGUGGGUUGCAAAAGAAGUAGGUAGCUUAACCUUCGGGAGGGCGCUUACCACUUUGUGAUUCAUGACUGGGGUGAAGUCGUAACAAGGUAGGCGUAGCGAG